GGGUAGCUCUUUGGAGCUCGCUGCAUUGGGUAAUUUCAUUUAAGGGAAGAAAAAAUUACUUUUUUUUUUCCUUUUUUGGGUUAUUGAUUUUGUUUUGUUUUGUUUUGUUUGAAGGUCCGGGGACGAUGUUUUGUGAUAAUUUGGGCUAUAUAUUCAUGUUCUUGUUUAUAGCUACUUCCAACAUGGUUGCUACUUCACUUGCUAGAAAAGAAGCAUUUGAAAGAAGCUAUGACCAAGUCUUUUAUUUCAUCCCAGAUUAUGAGAAGCAAAGUGUGUCAAGAGAUGAAAUCGAGAUAUUGCCACAAAUUACUACUAAAAGGAUGGGAAGAAAUAGAACUAGACGUAUAAACAAUAGAAUAAUUUACAAAAGUCCACUGAAAUGUUCUUGAUGCAAAGUUCAAGGUCACAAUUAAGCCAAUAUUCACUCUCCGCAUGGGCUUCUGCACUCUCAUCGUCAUCAUGGGGUGAUUGUCGAUAUACUGUUUAUAUGUCAAAAAUCGUUGGUGUAGUAUGUUAAAAGCUUUGUUGCUCAUUCCUUGGGAUGUUUCUGAUUAGCAUUGUGAAUCUGAAUGGUUGUUGGUUUUCAAAUAUAAGUAGCAACUGAUGUUGAUCUGUGGUCUUAUUAAUUUUUGGUGCU